rnacentral:rRNA from 1 species
UACGUAGGUGGCAAGCGUUAUCCGGAUUUACUGGGUGUAAAGGGCGUGCAGCCGGAGAGACAAGUCAGAUGUGAAAUCCACGGGCUCAACUCGUGAACUGCAUUUGAAACUGUUUCCCUUGAGUGUCGGAGAGGUAAUCGGAAUUCCUUGUGUAGCGGUGAAAUGCGUAGAUAUAAGGAAGAACACCAGUGGCGAAGGCGGAUUACUGGACGAUAACUGACGGUGAGGCGCGAAAGCGUGGGGAGCAAACAGG